rnacentral:rRNA from 1 species
AGAACGAACGCUGGCGGCAUGCCUAAUACAUGCAAGUCGAACGAACUCUUCGGAGUUAGUGGCGCACGGGUGCGUAGCGCGUGGGAAUCUGCCCCUUGGUUCGGAAUAACAGUUGGAAACGACUGCUAAUACCGGAUGAUAGACGAAAGUCCAAAGAUUUAUCGCCAA